UACGUAGGGACCGAGCGUUGUCCGGAAUCAUUGGGCGUAAAGAACGUGUAGGCGGCUAUUUAAGUCCUGCGUGAAAUCCUGCGGCUCAACCGCAGACGGUCGUGGGAAACUGGAUGGCUAGAGUGCGGGAGAGGAGAGUGGAAUUCCCGGUGUAGCGGUGAAAUGCGCAGAUAUCGGGAAGAACACCCGUGGCGAAAGCGGCUCACUGGGACCAUUACUGACGCUGAGGCUCGAAAGCUAGGGGAGCAAACAGG
rnacentral:rRNA from 1 species